UACGUAGGGUGCGAGCGUUGUCCGGAAUUAUUGGGCGUAAAGGGCUCGUAGGCGGUUUGUCGCGUCGGGAGUGAAAACUCAGGGCUUAACCCUGAGCCUGCUUCCGAUACGGGCAGACUAGAGGUAUGCAGGGGAGAAUGGAAUUCCUGGUGUAGCGGUGAAAUGCGUAGAUAUCUGGAGGAACACCGGUGGCGAAGGCGGCAUCCUGGACCGAUAUUGACGCUGAUGCGCGAAAGCCAGGGGAGCAAACGGG
rnacentral:rRNA from 1 species